AAGGAUAGAAAGAUAGAUGGAUGGAUUUGAUGGUGAGUGAGUGAGUGAAUGGGGAUCAAAUUAAUAAAUUAUGGGAGAGAGAUGAGAGAGAUUGGGAGAGAGAGGUCAUAGGACAACAGGAUGUAGAGAGAGAGAGAGAGAGAGAGAGAGAGAGGAUAGAGCAAAAGAAUGUAGAGAGAGAGAGAGAGAGAGAGAGAGAGAGGGGAGAGGGGAGGAGGUAGAGAGAGAGAGAGAGAGAGAGAGAGAGAGGGGAGAGGGUAGCUAGAAUGAUCUUGUUGAUAGAGAGCUAGUAGUUCUACUCGUAUGAACAGAGAGAGGGAGAAAUGAUAAUGAGUGUAAUGGAGUAGAGUAGCUGCUGAGGAUGAGCUUCAACUUCUGCAUUUAAAAUCAAAAAUUAUUAUGGCAGGCAAAAAGGAG
rnacentral:lncRNA from 1 species